CCUACGGGAGGCAGCAGUGGGGAAUAUUGGGCAAUGGAGGAAACUCUGACCCAGCGACGCCGCGUGCGGGAUGAAGGCCUUCGGGUUGUAAACCGCUUUCAGCAGGGAAGAAGCGAAAGUGACGGUACCUGCAGAAGAAGCACCGGCUAACUAUGUGCCAGCAGCCGCGGUAAUACAUAGGGUGCAAGCGUUGUCCGGAAUUAUUGGGCGUAAAGAGCUCGUAGGUGGUUCGUCACGUCGGAUGUGAAAAUCUGGGGCUUAACCCCAGACCUGCAUUCGAUACGGGCGAGCUUGAGUAUGGUAGGGGAGUCUGGAAUUCCUGGUGUAGCGGUGGAAUGCGCAGAUAUCAGGAGGAACACCAAUGGCGAAGGCAGGACUCUGGGCCAUUACUGACACUGAGGAGCGAAAGCGUGGGGAGCGAACAGGAUUAGAUACCCUGGUAGUCCACGCCGUAAACGGUGGGCACUAGUUGUGGGGACCUUCCACGGUCUCUGCGACGCNGCUACGCAUAGUGCCCGCCGUCGGGAGGUACGAGUCGCGAAGAAGUUAAAACGUUAAAGUUAGUUAAGUUAGUACGGUUCGUUGAGACGUUGCCGACGGACGACGACGAGGGAGGAGG
rnacentral:rRNA from 1 species